UAUGAUUUAAUUGGUUUUAUUUAUAAUUCCAAUUAUUAAAGAAAGAUGAGUAAGAAUAUUGUUGGUGUUCUUAACUCAAGAGAAAUGUUUUUAAUUAUUUAUUCAUUAAAAACCCGGCUAAGUGAAUCAUAGAAUGUUAAGCACUACACCAUGACUUAAGAUUAGAUUCAAGGAGACCUAUUAAGAAUAGAAUUUCUUGUAGGCUUUGUGGACCAAGGGGAUUAGCACUGUUUUCCCAAGACAGGUUAUGUGAUUAUGAUCUUCAGGCUUUGCCUAUCCAGGUUGAGCAGCUGAUGGAAUGGAAUGAUGUUGAGCGGGUGUUCCUUUGACAUUUCAAGAAAUGUAACCUUGAGUAUACAUCUUCAUAUGUAUAUCUCACACGUUUUCCGCUGCAAAACACUUUGAUUAGGAUAACUUUAUGUUAUGAAAUUGUGACACGUGUUAUUGGGUAACCCACCUUAAUCAGUUCUCAUUUAUGUGUAUGUUUUAUAAGUAUCCAAAUAAUCAUAUAUGAUCCUAGCAUUUUAUCUAUGAGUGACAUUUCCAUAUACUUUAAUGUUAA